rnacentral:lncRNA from 1 species
GGGACCGAGCGGGACCCCGAACCAAGGGACAGUCGCAGUUUGGGCCCCUUGAAUUUUACUUUCAAGUAAUGGGAAACUGAGGAGGCGGGCGCUUUCCCCAGCGUUUUUAGGGGCCCACUAAGUAAGGCCUAGCGGGAGCCAGAUUUUACAAUCUGGGACGGUAAAUCCCUUGGGGCAGGGCCGGAGACGGGAGCCGCUAGAGCUGGUCACAAAGCAGGGAACGCAAACUCAGCCUGCUGGAAGCCAGGCACGAGUUUGCGAACUACUACUGGAUUCUUUUUCCCACCAAGCCCAAGGGCUGCGACACUUGGGAUUAAUGCCCAAUGGAUCAUUCCUAGGAAACGGCCGACCUGACUAUUCGGCCCAUUUUCAAACCUCUAACCAUAGACUCUCAUCUUUCUCCCACAACAGAAAAAAAAAGCCUCUGGCGACGCCUGGGAGCGCGACGGAGGCGCAAGAGCUCUAACCGCGCGAGGUGAAAACUCCGACUGCGUCAGAGCCGCCCCGCCCCGCCUGGGGCCCACCUUCCGCCGCCCCUCCGAGCUGCGGCGAAAACCCGGAGAGCGGCUAGGCCGGGGUCGGAGCCCGCGCAUGCCCAGUAGCCCCACGUGGUGCAAGUCGCCUGAAGGAAGGUUUUCCUCUGCUCCCCGAGCGAAGCCCCAGCGCCCAAGUUAGGAUGGACAGCGGGGAGAGCUGGCCUUCCCGCCCCGAUGCCCGCCGUCCCUGGCCGGCCCGCGCCGCACCUCGGUGGCCUACAGGCAGCCCGAGGCCGUGCCUCCCGCGGGGUCGGGGACUUGGCGAGCGGGGGAAGGGGCGCGGCUACGGGCCCGGCGUACCACGUGACUGUCCGCGGCGCUCCGGGCAGCCAUCUUCCGCCCGGCCAUCGGGCCGCGGGCGCUCGGAACCGACCUGGGAGCUGGCGGGACCGUCCUCCCCCGCCACGCCCUCCCAUCGGGCUUUGGGCGCCGGACUCUGGCCACCGCUCGGCACCUGCCUCCGCCUCGCCUUGGGGUAUAGGAGUCCUGUACCGACCCCUGGCUUGCCCAGAGGACAGGUUCUCGCCCGGGCCAGAAGCAAACUGCGGCGAAAUCGAGACAACAGAACUCAGAGUCACUCUGUCACCCAGGCUGGAGUGCAGUGGCACCAUCACAGCUCCCUGCAGCCUUGACUUACAGGGCUCCAGUGAUCCUCCACCCUCAGCCUCCUGAGUAUCUGAGACCACAGGUGCAAGCCACCAUGCCCAGUUGUAGCAAGGAAACCAAAAGGUAUAAACAUUCACUGAUUGAAAAACAAUGUCAUAAAGUCAUCCCAGUAUCUGUGAGGAGUUGGUUCCAGGACCCCUGAGGACACCAAAAUCCUCAGAUGCUCAAGUCCCUGAUAAAAAAAUAAAAGUGGUGCCCUCGGGUUCAAAAACCUGAACGGUGGUCUUCAGUUGUUCCCCCAAGCUCCUCUAUCAGAGGCCCAGACACUCCAAGAGGCUGGGAAGAGGCAAGUGGCUUUCCCUGACUGGCAUCAGACUCCUGGAUGGCUGUGUUUCUGCAUACUCCACCAUCAACAAUCAGAAGGGCACUGCUUUCUUCAAGAAGGGGACCUUGCAAAGAACUGUCUCAGAUGGACUAUCUUUGAGUUCAUCUUGUUCUGAAUGUGAGUCUGAGUCUUUGUUUCCAGAUGACACAGUGCUGUCUGAGUCCUCUGAAUCACCUGCCUCAGAGCUGCAGCAAAGUUUCUGCUGCCCAGAAACUGAAUGGGCUGCUUGUAAUGCAGAUUCUUCCUCCUGGACAAGAAGUGCUGCUGCUUCUAGUUCUUCCAGUUCUAACCCCAACUGGGCCUUUGUAAGGGAGACUUCCUUUAAGGCUUCUGCAAGAGCUGCCAACGUUUUGGAUUUGACUUUCUGAGUCCACACACAGUAGUAUGAGAUGUAGAGAUCAUUCAGUAUGUAUGCUGGGUCGUUUUCCUGAAAAAUUUUGUGAAUAUCCAGGAGACACUUUAAAACUGCACUUUUACUUAAUUGCAGUAUCUUUAUAGUCUCCCCGUAGGCCUUCAUCGCCAGUUUGAAAUGGCGAUAGAGCAGGUAACACAAUACCCUUCUUCCAAAAGACACCAUGAUAUCAUGAACAUUAGUCCAAGUCUCAAACCAGCAUAGUAUUGGACUCAAGUUUCGUGAUAUUCCAUGCAGAUUCAACGUUCUUGUCUCCUUCAGUGACACGGGUUUCUUAGCAAUAUGCCAGAAGGAUAUCAAUCGAACUGUAGUACACUUGACGACAGGCUCUGUUGUCUAGCAGAUAAGAUUUAUUGACAAAUUCUUGUAGCUGAUAUUUCUCUUCUUCAGAAAAAGACACUAAUGCAGCAUGAUUUUCUUGCUUCUGACUCUUUUCCAAAAAGGCCGUCAUUUUUUAAUAUUUGUCAGUCCACCAAGGAUUAUACUUCAAAAUCUGUUCAACUGCCUCAUCUUCAAAAAAGUCAGCUAGAUAAUGAUCAGGAUCAAACUUGGCCAGCUCGGCGGCCAGGUGCUUUUGUUUUCGUUCUGCUGCAGGGAUGAAAUCUGGAUCCUUAAUAACAUCACUCAAUUCAUCCUGUAACUGCUGAAACACUCCUGAUCGUAAGUUUCCAAACCCAUAGUGGCAUGAGGAUUCAAAGCACUUUCUGUUACCUCUUCAUAGGGUGUCUGCUCAAUUUCCCAAUCAAACUCUUCAUCGUCAACUACUUCCUCAGGAAUUUCAGAAUCACCUAUUGCUUCCACAAGUGGUUUUGCUGUCCCGGAUUUUCCUGGUGCCAGAAGAGCAACACAUGUUCAGCCCCUCAAAAUGCUGGCCAGGGGUUUCUCUGGGCAGGCGAGUGGUAAAAAUUCCUUUAUCUGCAUCAUAGGACCCUUGCUCGCUUCCGUAUCCAUAUUCUACAAUUCUUCCAGGAGGGGUUAAUCUGAGAAAGUACGGCUUGGCAUAGUAGUCUAGGCCGACCCCUCGAAGUAGACGUUGAACUCGGAGGCCGGGGCAUAGGGCACGCGGAUGGCGAUGGUCAGGAAAUCCGGCUCCUGGCUGAGGCUGAACGCCGGGGUCAGCAUCGCGGCACCAGACGCAGGGGCCAGCGCGGCUCGCCCUCGCUGCCGCGGCGGUCCCACCAAGCAACUCUCUCCAAUUUUACCUUUUUAAAAUAAAAGAUGUCUGGGCCAGGCGCAGUGGCUCACGCUUGUAAUCCCAGCACUUUGGGAAGCCGAGGCGGGUGGAUCCUGACCUGAGGUCAGGAGUUCAAGAUCAGCCCCGCCGACAUGACGAAACUCCGUCUCUACUAAAAAUACAAACAUCAGCCGGACGUGGUGGUGGGCGCCUGUAAUCCCCACUACUCGGGAGGCUGAGGCAGGAGAAUCACUUGAACCCGGGAGGCAGAGGUUGCAAUGAGCCGAGAUCAUGCCACUGUACUCCAGCCUGGGUGACAGAGUGAGACUCUGUCUCAAAAAAAAAAAAAAAAAAAAAAAAAAAAGUCUGUCUUCCAGGACACAGAAGCCUCCUAUACACACAUUUUGGCACUUGAUUAUGUUAUGUCUUUUACAGUUCUCUGCAUGUUUCUUGCAGGUAAGUCUUGAUUCUUCAAUUACAUAUUAAAUUUCUAUUGAGGAUAUAUAUCUAGCUUUCAUCUUUCAGAGUACCUAGCAUAGGACUUGGCACCAAGUAGCCCAUAGUAAACAGUUAUUCAACCAUAAUGUAUGAUUUUCUUUUCUACUUUUCACUGGUAUGUUUUUGUUUAAAAAGGGUAAACCACCAGGGAUGGAAAUGUCCUUGCUAUGUUAUCCUUCUUCUCUAAUUAGCAACCACCCUUCACAAUCUGCCACAUUACAUUUAAAAAGGAUUUUCAAAUUAGACAUUUAUGCCUGGGCAUUAACCAGGGACUGAUGAAUCAGUGCCAUCAGCAGAACACUGCCCUGACUGGCAGACAUGGCACCAUUGUCAAGACUUGUAAUUUACUCCUGGCUUUUCAAAUAGUCAGUGUGUAACUCCAGGCAAGGUUUAAUUAUCUCCUGUUAAAAUGGGAAUAAUAUGACCCACCCCCACUUUGCUUCCCAUGGGUAUCAUGAGAAUUAAUUAAUUAUUGAAUAAGAAUAUAUGUCUAUAAAAUAUUUUAUAGUUCAUUAGAGGUAAACAAAUGCAAACGUAAGAUAUUGUUCAAUGUAUUAUGAAUGUUCAUUGUUGCUGUAUUUAGUACAAAGUACCUGUAUUAUAUCAACAGUGGUAGUACACAAAAUAAUGAAUACAUGUUGGGUCAGCACCUCCUCCAAUUACCACUUGCAAACAAGUCCUGGAUGGCCAGAACUAAUUGGAAGGUUGAGACAAAAAUUAUAUCUCGCACACUAAAGAAGGGGAGAUUGAUACAGCGCGCUCACCUAAAUUUCGUAGUGCCUUCAUGAACUCUUCAAAAGCUUCAAAUCUAGGCUAGGCUACAGGAAGAACAGCAGCAACUGAAGACUGGCACCUUUUCUGGAACCUCAGCAGCACCUUCCUUGUUUCGUAAGAUUUCGAAGAAGCAUAUCAAAAUUCUUCCACCCAUUCCUUCACAGUAUAAUAGGAGAAAACAUCUAUCCUCCGUUGACACCUGGAAGAAUGAGAUUCCAACUCACUCCAGGACAUGGCCAGAAAAAUUCAACAAAAGAUUUGCUAAAUCCUCUGCACUAUUAUCUAGACCAGGAUUUCUCAACCUCAGCUCUGUGGACAUUUGGGCCAGAUAAUUCUUUGUUACCAGAGGCUGUCCUGUACAUCAUCAGGUGUUUAGCAGCAUUCCUGGCCUCAACCAAAUGGAUGCCAGUAGCACCUCCCCCACCCACUUGUGACAGCCAAAGAUAUCUCCAGACAUUGCCAAAUGUCCCCUGUUAUGGAGAAUCAUCCUCAGUUGAGAAUCACUGGUUUAGGCAAUGAUCAAAGUGGGGCAACUAAAUCAAAAGGCACUGCAAUCUUAAGUUGAUCAAGCAUCCUUCUUUGAAAUCACUCAGCACUUUCAUAUAUUGCAUUUAUAUCUUAGGUAUUCAUAUUCUAACAAUUCAGCCAAUGUUUUUUGAGUUCGCAAUGGACAAGGUACAAGAUCAAGUAAGUAAUUCUGUGUAUCCAUAAAACAGAAAUGGAUAUGGUAUGUCCCAGUUCUCCACAGUAGGCAUUUAUGUUAUUCCCAUCCCAAUAUUUAGCCCUGAUCAGGGUUGUCAAACAUUGCAUGGGACAUACUUAUCCUAAAAAAUUAUUCAUUAUUUAUCUGAAAUUGAAAUUUAACUGGAUGUCCUAUGUGUGUGCAUGUGUAUGUUUGUUUGUUUGUUUCUUUUUCUAAAUCUGAUUACCCUAUCCUAACAGACUCAAGGUUUUUUCCCUGUUCCACAAACUUUAUGACUUGACUUCAUUAAAAAUAAUAAAGAGGAAUAACUGCAAAGGCUUUAAAAAUGCUGUUAGAAUGAGUAGCACAACUGAAUUUGAGGAUACAUUUUCUUUGAAGGAUGUCUAUUUUCCUACUGAAAAUAGUGGCAAACUCCUUAGAACUCAUUCAAAGCCUGAUGGGAUUCAUUGCCUGAUUUAUUUAAAAACACUUCUGAUGCUCACAGACUAUUUAUCAUUUACACAGCAAAUGAUGUUCUUCUAGUAUUCUUGUUGGGUGAGUUAGCAUUGUGGAAGGACAUAGAGGAGAAUCAGACACAAACUUCUUAUAACCUCAUAAACAGGAAGAAAGGGAGCAGAAGCAUAGACUGACUUUACUUUCACUCAGCUUACCUUCCUAGUUCUCCAGGUGUGGUCCUCAGAAGAGGAAUAUCAUGUGACCUGGGAACUUGCUAGAAAUGCACAUCCUUGGGACCCACCCCGGACCUACUGAAUCAGAAACUCUGAGAGUGGGUCCUAGCAACCAGUGUUUUCACAGGCCUUCCAGGUGAUUCUUCCGCAUGUUCGAGUUUGAGAACAACUGCUUUAGAGCCCUGGUUCUUGACCCUGGCUACAGGGUAAAACACCUGGGGAGUUUUUAAAAUACUGAUGCAUGGGGUCCAUUCCAAGGGAGUCUGAUAUAAUUACUAUGGGGUGCAGCCCAGGCGUAAACAUUUUUUAAAAACUCCUCAACCAGAAUAACGGCUCUACAGAAAUUUUAUCAAAUGCCAAAGAAAGAGUUCCUUAUUUUGCAACUAUAGUGCUUUCUACUCUGGCCCUAAUCAACUUUCAUAAAGGCAGAAUGGACAGACAUUACGUGUUUUAAUUUGAAGACUACCAAAAGGCCGGCCAUUAAACUAGGUAUAUGGGCUCGUCCUCAAAUCCCUAAAUCUACUCCUUAGGACCUACUAUAGCCAGUGUCAUAUAAUAGAAAAGUCACUUAUUGUCCACCAGACCCUGCCCUAAUAUUUGAUAACCUCUUGGGGCCUCAUUUUCUUGUGUCUACACUGGGGAUGAUAUUAACUCUUCACAGGAUUUGGGGAAUUAUAAAGAAAGACCAUGUAGUAAAGGCAGGAAGAUCAAUAAUCAAUAAUCACAUCAGAACCUGAAGGGACUUCGUACCAUUGAAGUGAGGCAGAGGAGAGAGAAAUUUAGAAGGACAAAUUCACAAAUUUCAAUGUGUUUCUAUAAUAACUACUUAAAUUAUUUUCUCUUUGAAUUGCCUCACUGUUGUGUGUGUAUGUCCCCACUCCCACCUGUCCCAUUAUUUUCCUGUUUUCACUUGUACCUUGGCAACCCAUCUGUGGUUUUGGCCAAGCUGUUUUAAUGGCAUUGAACCUGGUAGUUUUUUUAAAAGAGUGUGGUAGUAGUUAUAUAUGGCUCGAUAACUCCUGGGGCUACAACAAGGUUAAUGCGACAGUUUUUGUUGUUUAAAAAACAUGCUUGUCUGACAAGUCAAUCAUUUUAAGCCCCUUGUUCACUUCAGGAUGGUUGCUAAAGGCUUCUCUGUGAGCUAAAAGCUCUCGCUGUUAAGGGGCUGCCUGCCCUGACUGUAUGCAUUAAAUGGAACAGUUCUCUACAUGGUUUCUUACUACAGAUGCCUUGGGAUAUAUGGACACUGGCAUUACCUGCUGCAACAGGUCCUCUCCCAGGGUACUGCUGAGACCUAAGGGCUUAAAUGCUCACCAAACCAAGUGACCUUGGAGGGCUGGUCAUGGUGGGCAUCUGGGAGCUGGGAAAGAGCAUUGGAGAACUUCAUAGGGAAACCUAGUAGGCAAAAAUGAAAGAACCCAUAAGGGCCAUUGGCAUGAGCCAUAGCUAAAGGCCACUGGGUUAGCUCUCAAAGAAAACUGCAAGAUUGAAGCAUAAAUUCCUUCAUCAUGAACCAGAAGUCAUGGAGUGGAGCCAGGGGCAAGAAAGAGAAAGAUGAAGAGGUAGAACCACCAGGAUAAAGGUGCCAAGAAAAACAGUGAGAGCAACACUCAGGGAACCAGAGACAGGAACACAGCUGGGAACUAGGAGGAGAAACCACCACAGCUGGAGCGCAAAGUGGCCAGGUCAGAAAAGCCUCAUGGAAUCCUGGUUAACUGAAUGUUUCUAUUGACUGAGGCCACUGCUUAAGCCCUGUAUUCUUUUUUAUUUCAAUCCCCAUGGUUAGAAAAAUAGUCCUAAAAUGGGUUCAUACCCUUUCCUAUCCUGCAAGAUCUUAAACAUCACUAUCUUUUCCUGCAGUAGUUAAAAGCAUGGGCUUUGGAAUCAGAAACUGGGCACAAAUCUGAGCCCUGCUACUUAUUAACUGUGUAACAUUGGUCAAAUGAAUAAACUUCCUGGAGCCUCAGUUUCCUUGCCUGUAAAAUGUGAGUAACAAUACCAACUUAUUUUCAGGUUGUGAGCAUUUCUCCAUAAUAAUCCACAUAAAACACUUACCAGAGCCCUUGGCAUACUGUGUGAGCAUGUAAUAAUGUUAGCUGUCAUUCCAAGACAACAUGUUGGAAUAAUCUACUUUUUCCAUCACUAUAUAUCUCAUUUUCCUUCUUUUUCUUCUCCCUCAAACCUGUCCCCAUUCCAACAGAUGUUUUGGCCUGUGUUCCUAGCCUCCAGUGACAGCAGAAAGCCUGUUAGAUUUCCUGCCUUUGUUUCCCAAAAUUUGAGCCCCAAGAAACUGGGACAAGAUAUUUUCCUGAGACAAGAUAUCUCAGGAAGGGGAAUGAGUGGAGCUUCUUUUCACCCCACACUAGAAAGCCAUUCUGUUUAGAAAAAGGAGACGGAAGGGAAAGAAAAGGGUGCUAUACCAGUUUUCCAGUAUCACCGUCAGGGAGAAAGCAAGGCCGGAGAGUAUCUGGGCAGAUGUAACUAUAAGCAGCCUAAUAAAGGUUCCCAAGUCCAAACCAUGAAUCCAAACGGCAGAGCUGCCAGACAUGAAAGGCCUUGCUGCCCUUCCACCCCACAAUACUUCACCUCUGGAAGCCUUGACAAUUCCAGGGAGUAUUUGCAAAACCCUGCCCCCACCCAAAAUUUUUAAAAUACUGCAUAUGAGUGAGUAAAAUGAUGCCGAGAUUUUUAAAAGGACAAGCUUACCAUCAGAUAGGUAGAAUGAGUAGUAGUGGCAGCGGUGGUGGUAGUGAUAUAGAGAUAAAAGAGUUAAGUGGAGUUACUGAAAUGUGUAGUUAUAUUUCUCACACUCUGGUGUUUGUGGAUUUGUGGGCUGAGAUUCUUAUCAAAUUCCGGAACUUGCAAUGUCUCAAGGUAAUUGUUUAAAAUAUUAAUUGUUUUACUCACACUGCAAAUGUUGAUAUAGAUGCUGGGGUGGAGGUGGGGCAAUAGGCCAGAAUAAGCCCAAGAAUACCUUGGAAUUUGCUGAAUUUCUUUCUUUUUGCAUAAUCUUAUUCACACAUUAACAUAAUAUGAACCACUCUGGCUCCAUGAGCAGCACAGAAGAGACUUUCUGCAAAUGUGAUUAUUAGGGCAAAAGUUAGGAGAUUUUUUGCCCCCAGCUUUUCUCCUCUCCUAAAAUCUUUUUUUUUUUUUCAUUUCUUUGUCAGUGUCUUUAAUUUUUUUAGCUGCAUUUAAAAGGCUUUCUAUUAUUUCUGCAUGAGUAAGAGCAUGUGUCAUGUCAGCCUCCUUGUCAGCUUCUGUUUCACUUUCAUUAAAUUUGUUGAUUGAGUGUAAAGAAGGAGGCACUGUCAUCAUUUCCAGAUUUCAUAGCUGUAGGUUAGAUCUCUCUCGGAGCAAUGCCAUGAUUACUGCUGCAAUUUUGUAAUGGAGCCCUGGAGAGACAGGGAUGAAACCAGGGAAGGCUCCUUAUCCCUUUCGUGGGUCCAGGGAGGCAGAAAGAGAGGGGAGGAGGAUGUUUCUGUUUCACCUCUAUUCAUUCAUUCAUUCAUUUGCUUCACAAAUAUUGAGCACCUCCUGAGUGACAGACACUGAUUUGGGUGCUGGAAAGCAUAAGCAGCCCUGGUGCCUGUCCUCACAGAGCCUAUGGUCUGCUGGUGAGACGGACUUAAUCAGAUAAACACACUAAUGAAUGUAUAGUUGCACCAACAGAUCCUCAUUUAAUUGAGCUGGACUAGGACCUAGGCAUCAGUAUUUUUUUUAUAAGCUUCAUAGGUAACUCUGCCAGGCCUGGGAAUCACUGGGCUAGACCAUGCAAGUUCUAAUCAUAUAGGCUCUACUCAAGCAUUAAGCAUUUUGAUUUUAUCUUUCAAGCUGUGGUGAAAACGUUACUGAAGAGAGGUGAUAUAGUAAGAUGCUCACGGUUUUUAAAAUUAAGCUUUUUUAUUUUGAAAUAAUUAUAGACUCAUAUGCAGUUGUAAGAAAUAAUACAGGGGAAUCCCAUAUAUCCUUUAUCCAGUUUCCCCAAUGGUAACAUCUUGCAAAACUAUGGUACAAUAUCACAACCAGGAUAUUGACCUUGGUGCAGUCAAGAUAAAGCAUUUUCAACACCACAUGAAUCCCUCCUGUUGUCCUUGGAUAGCCCUCCCCACUUUACUCCUGGUGACCACUAAUAUGUUCUCCAUUUCUAUAAUCUUGUCUUUUCAACAGUUAUAUAAGUGGAAUCAUAUAGUAUAGAACCUCAUGGGAUUGGCUGUUUUCUCUCAGCAUCAUUUUCUGGACAUUCAUUCAGGUUGUUUCACGUGUCAAUAGUUUGUUCCUUUUUAGAGGGCUGACUAGCGGUGUUCCAUGUAUAGGGGUGCCAUAGUUUGUUUAACCAUUCACAUGUUGAAGGACAUCUGGGUCUGCUCCAAUGUUCAGAGAUUUUAAAUAGAGCUGCUAUACACAUUUGUGUAUAGGUUUUUGUGUGAACAUGAAGUCUUUGUUUCUCUGGGAUACAUGCCCAAGUGUGCAAUUGCUGAGUUAUAUGAUAGUUGCAUGUAGAAACUAUCAUGCAUAAAGAAACUGUCAAACUAUUUCCAGAGUAUCUGCACCAUUUUACAUUCUCAACAGUAAUGUACCAGUGAUCCAGUUUCUCCUCAUUCUCAUCAGAAUUUAAUGUUGCCACUGUUUUUUAUUUCAGCCAUUCUGAUAGGUAUGUGGUAAUUGCUUGUUGUGGUUUGCUUUGAGUUUCUCUAAUGGCCAACGAUGCUGAACAUCUUUUCAUGUGCUUAGUUGCCAUCUGUAUAUUACCUUUGGUGAAGUGUCUCUUCAUGUCUUUGGCCUAUUUUCUAAUUGGAUUAUUAGCCUUAAUGUUGAGUUUUGAGAGUUUACUUUUAUAUUCCAAAUACUAGUCCCUUUUGUCAAAUAUGGGGUUUGCAAUUUUUUUCCCACUCUCCAAUUUGUUUUUUAUCCUGUUUACAGGGUCUUUCACAGAGCAAAGUUUUUUAAUUGUGAUGCAGUCUAAUUUAUCAGCUUUUCCUUUUAUGGACCAUAUUUUUGGUGUCGAGUCUAAGUCGUCUUUGCUGAGUCCUACAUCAUGAAGAUUUUUUCUUACUAAAAUUUGAUAGUUUUAAAUGUUCUCUAUUUAAGUCCGUGAGUUAUUUUGAGUUAAUUUUUGCAUAAGGUAUAAAUCUUAGGUUGAGGCUCACUUUUUAAUCUUAAGGAUUGCUCAGCAUCAUUUAUUGAAAAGGCUAUCUUCCCUCCAUUGAAUUUCUUUUGUACCUGUGUCAAAACAUCAGUUGCAUAUAUUUGUGUGUAUCAAUUUCUGGGUCUUCUGUUCUGUUCAGUGGAUCUAUGUGUCUAUUUCUCUGCCAAUACCAUAUAGUUUUGACUAUAGUAGCUGUAUAAUAAGUCUUGAAACCCUUGAAACCAGGUAAGACUGGUCCCUUUCAUAUUAGCCUUCCUUUUCAAAAUUGUUUUAGCUAUUCUAGUUCCUUUGCUUUUCUGUAUACAUUGUAGAAUAGUGUUGUCUAUAUCUAUUUUUAAAACUUGCUGGAAUUUUUUUUUAAGAGACAGAGUCUUGCACUGUUGGCCAGGUUGGAGUACAGGGGUAUGAUCAUAGCUCACUACAGCACCAAACUCCUGGGCUCUAGCAAUCUUCCUGCCUCAGUCUCCCAAGUAGGUAGAACUACAUGCAACUGCCACUACAAUCGUAUUUAAAAGUAAAGUUAAAAAAAUUUUUUUUGAGAGAAGAUCUCACUCUGUUGACUAGUCUGGUCUUGAACACCUAGCCUCCAGCAAUCCUCUUGCCUCCCAAAGCACUGGAAUUGCAAGAGUGAGCUACCAGGCCCAACCAGUAUGUUAUGUGUGCAGUUUUUUGUAGAUAUUAUUUAUUAUGUUGAGGAAACUCCCCUCUAUUGCCAUUUUUCUGAUAGUUUUUAAGAUCAUUCAUGGGUGUUGAAGUUUGUCAGAGUCUUUCUGUAUCCAUUGAUUGUUAUGAUCAAGAAUUUUUUCUUUAGCCUGUUAAUACGAUGUAUUAAAUAGCUUCAUUUUCAACUACUGAGCCAGCCUGAAAUAAACCUCGCUUGGUCAUGAUAUAUUAUUACAUAUGCUGCUGAAUUCUAUUUUCUCUUUUACUGGUCUUUUGGCUGGAGAGAGUAGGCUUUUGUUGGGGCUUUACUUGUACGUGCACAUUGUUAUUUCUGGGUUGUCAGCCUCCUUCUCUCCAAGUCUGGGAUAUAUGGGACAAAAACAUAAUCCAGGGAGCCCACCACCUUGUUAGACUUUGAGUCCCUAGAUCCCUAGGUGGUCUGGCUUCUUUUUUUCACCUUUGAAAAUCUUAUGUUUGUUUUAUACAUAAUGUUGAGAGUUUUUCGUUGUUCUUAGUGGCAGAAGUAUAGAAAGAUACUCCAUCUUCUCAAAAAUAGAAGUUCAGAUUAUGUUUUGAAAGGCACUGUAGGCAGGCCAGGGAAGGCUUGUAAAAGGCUACUGCACUGGUCCAGGUGAGGGGAGUUAGUCUGGUAGAAGGCUGUUUCUUCCACCAUUCUCCCCUCACAUUCCACUGCCCCAUUUGCAUGGAGCUGGGGUUCUACUACCCCAGUAGGGCAGCAAGAGAGAAGGAGCAGGCAAUAUCUUGGAGCAUUACACCAUGAUAAAGGGACACCAAUACCCUCCAGAUGCUAGCUGUUUCUUUCUAGAGCUUUUAAACAUUCUCCUUCAGCAGAAGAAAUAAGUCACUCCUGAAAGCAUCCUAACAAUGUGCAUUUCUCCAAAGUUUCCUUAACACUUCACAUUUAACAUGACUCCAGGUAUAAGCAACAUUAAACAAGUCAUAUCUUAUGUUACAACUUGAGUGAAACUUUAAUGAUGCUGAAUUUGCUAAUUUGCUCUGGUAUAAUGUAUUUCCUGUUUAUAAUCCCUUUUGGCUAAUAGCACUAAUCAACAGAAAACACUGACAGACUGCACAAUGGCAACAGUAAUUCUGGACAGAGAUAGUUUUAUUAUCUACAGAUGAAUCCAUGUUUCUAAAACAUUAUUUACUAUAAUGUAAAAUAUGGGUUGGGCGUGGUGGCUCACACCUGUAAUCUCAGCACUUUGGGAGGCUGAGGCGGGCAGAUCACCUGAGGUCAGCAGUUCAAGCCUAGCCUGGCCAACAUGGUGAAACCCCAUCUCUACUAAAAAUACAAAAAUUAGCCAAGUGCAGUGGUGCAUGCUUGUAAUCCCAGCUACUUGGGGGGCUGAGGUAGGAGGAUUGAUUGAACCUGGGAGGCAGAGGUUGCAGUGAGCCGAGAUCAUACCACUGCACUCCAACCUGGGCAACAGAAGGAGACUCUAUCUCAAAAAAUAAAAAUAAAAAUAAAAAUAAAAUGUAGUAGAUAAAGGUCAUAAUUUCUAUGCACCAAAGCUUUUAUAGGAGGCCUGUAUUUUAGCAAUCAACCUGUCCUUAUUCUGUUCAAAUUCAAGGGCACUUGAAUCACUUUAGAUGGUGUCACCUACAUUGGGAAGCAAUCACAGUAUAGAUAUUUUUUCUUAUUAUGUUUGCAAAAUAAACUUCACAAAAUUGUCUAGCAACCUUGUGACCACUUGUUUUCUUUUAUUGAACAUAAUAAUCCUUUUAAC